rnacentral:rRNA from 1 species
UUAAGCGACUAAGCGUACACGGUGGAUGCCCUGGCAGUCAGAGGCGAUGAAGGACGUGCUAAUCUGCGAAAAGCGUCGGUAAGGUGAUAUGAACCGUUACAGCCGGCGAUGUCCGAAUGGGGAAACCCAGUGCAAUUCGUUGCACUAUCGUUAACUGAAUACAUAGGUUAACGAGGCGAACCGGGGGAACUGAAACAUCUAAGUACCCCGAGGAAAAGAAAUCAACCGAGAUUCCCCCAGUAGCGGCGAGCGAACGGGGAGCAGCCCAGAGUCUGAAUCAGCUUGUGUGUUAGUGGAACGGUCUGGAAAGUCCGACGGUACAGGGUGAUAGUCCCGUACACCAAAAUGCACAGGCUGUGAACUCGAAGAGUAGGGCGGGACACGUGGUAUCCUGUCUGAAUAUGGGGGGACCAUCCUCCAAGGCUAAAUACUCCUGACUGACCGAUAGUGAACCAGUACCGUGAGGGAAAGGCGAAAAGAACCCCGGCGAGGGGAGUGAAAAAGAACCUGAAACCGUGUACGUACAAGCAGUGGGAGCACCUUCGGGUGUGACUGCGUACCUUUUGUAUAAUGGGUCAGCGACUUAUAUUCUGUAGCAAGGUUAACCGUAUAGGGGAGCCGCAGGGAAACCGAGUCUUAACUGGGCGUUAAGUUGCAGGGUAUAGACCCGAAACCCGGUGAUCUAGCCAUGGGCAGGUUGAAGGUUGGGUAACACUAACUGGAGGACCGAACCGACUAAUGUUGAAAAAUUAGCGGAUGACUUGUGGCUGGGGGUGAAAGGCCAAUCAAACCGGGAGAUAGCUGGUUCUCCCCGAAAGCUAUUUAGGUAGCGCCUCGUGAACUCAUCUUCGGGGGUAGAGCACUGUUUCGGCUAGGGGGUCAUCCCGACUUACCAACCCGAUGCAAACUACGAAUACCGAAGAAUGUUAUCACGGGAGACACACGGCGGGUGCUAACGUCCGUCGUGAAGAGGGAAACAACCCAGACCGCCAGCUAAGGUCCCAAAGUCAUGGUUAAGUGGGAAACGAUGUGGGAAGGCACAGACAGCCAGGAUGUUGGCUUAGAAGCAGCCAUCAUUUAAAGAAAGCGUAAUAGCUCACUGGUCGAGUCGGCCUGCGCGGAAGAUGUAACGGGGCUAAACCAUGCACCGAAGCUGCGGCAGCGACACUAUGUGUUGUUGGGUAGGGGAGCGUUCUGUAAGCCUGCGAAGGUGUGCUGUGAGGCAUGCUGGAGGUAUCAGAAGUGCGAAUGCUGACAUAAGUAACGAUAAAGCGGGUGAAAAGCCCGCUCGCCGGAAGACCAAGGGUUCCUGUCCAACGUUAAUCGGGGCAGGGUGAGUCGACCCCUAAGGCGAGGCCGAAAGGCGUAGUCGAUGGGAAACAGGUUAAUAUUCCUGUACUUGGUGUUACUGCGAAGGGGGGACGGAGAAGGCUAUGUUAGCCGGGCGACGGUUGUCCCGGUUUAAGCAUGUAGGCUGGUUAUCCAGGCAAAUCCGGAUAAUCAAGGCUGAGGUGUGAUGACGAGGCACUACGGUGCUGAAGUAACAAAUGCCCUGCUUCCAGGAAAAGCCUCUAAGCAUCAGGUAACAUCAAAUCGUACCCCAAACCGACACAGGUGGUCAGGUAGAGAAUACCAAGGCGCUUGAGAGAACUCGGGUGAAGGAACUAGGCAAAAUGGUGCCGUAACUUCGGGAGAAGGCACGCUGGUGUGUAGGUGAAGUCCCUGCGGAUGGAGCUGAGACCAGUCGAAGAUACCAGCUGGCUGCAACUGUUUAUUAAAAACACAGCACUGUGCAAACACGAAAGUGGACGUAUACGGUGUGACGCCUGCCCGGUGCCGGAAGGUUAAUUGAUGGGGUUAUCCGUAAGGAGAAGCUCUUGAUCGAAGCCCCGGUAAACGGCGGCCGUAACUAUAACGGUCCUAAGGUAGCGAAAUUCCUUGUCGGGUAAGUUCCGACCUGCACGAAUGGCGUAAUGAUGGCCAGGCUGUCUCCACCCGAGACUCAGUGAAAUUGAACUCGCUGUGAAGAUGCAGUGUACCCGCGGCAAGACGGAAAGACCCCGUGAACCUUUACUAUAGCUUGACACUGAACAUUGAGCCUUGAUGUGUAGGAUAGGUGGGAGGCUUUGAAGCGUGGACGCCAGUCUGCGUGGAGCCAACCUUGAAAUACCACCCUUUAAUGUUUGAUGUUCUAACGUUGGCCCCUGACCGGGGUUGCGGACAGUGUCUGGUGGGUAGUUUGACUGGGGCGGUCUCCUCCCAAAGCGUAACGGAGGAGCACGAAGGUUAGCUAAUCCUGGUCGGACAUCAGGAGGUUAGUGCAAUGGCAUAAGCUAGCUUGACUGCGAGCGUGACGGCGCGAGCAGGUGCGAAAGCAGGUCAUAGUGAUCCGGUGGUUCUGAAUGGAAGGGCCAUCGCUCAACGGAUAAAAGGUACUCCGGGGAUAACAGGCUGAUACCGCCCAAGAGUUCAUAUCGACGGCGGUGUUUGGCACCUCGAUGUCGGCUCAUCACAUCCUGGGGCUGAAGUAGGUCCCAAGGGUAUGGCUGUUCGCCAUUUAAAGUGGUACGCGAGCUGGGUUUAGAACGUCGUGAGACAGUUCGGUCCCUAUCUGCCGUGGGCGCUGGAGAAUUGAGGGGGGCUGCUCCUAGUACGAGAGGACCGGAGUGGACGCAUCACUGGUGUUCGGGUUGUCAUGCCAAUGGCACUGCCCGGUAGCUAAAUGCGGAAGAGAUAAGUGCUGAAAGCAUCUAAGCACGAAACUUGCCCCGAGAUGAGUUCUCCCUGAGACUAUAAGUCUCCUGAAGGAACGUUAAAGACGAUGACGUUGAUAGGCCGGGUGUGUAAGCGCAGCGAUGCGUUGAGCUAACCGGUACUAAUGAACCGUGAGGCUUAACCU